GCGGCGGCGGCGGGGAGGCCGAGACGCCCCCCACCGGGAACUUCUCGCAGACUUUCGGGGCUUUCGGGACACAGACCGGCCAGGGCACCCGGACCGGCGGCCUCGGCCCCGCGUGUUCUAGUAAGAGCCGGGAGGGCCCUGGGGGCAUCUCAGUUGAUCCCUUUACAGCAAGUACAGGAUUGCACAGCUGGGGCCAAGGAAUGCCCAGUACUGCCAGGACCACUGGAUGGCAGAAGACUUCACCUAGCCUCUGGCGGUGCGUUGAAACAGAAUUUGAUCCAGAAAUUGCCUCCUUUUAGGCAAUGGACACUUUACUGAAAAAUUGCGUUUCUGGAAAUGUGCUAGGUUCAACGGGCCAGGGUGGCAUCACUUAAAGAGUGUCUGAUGGGCACCACCUACAGGCUAUUGGAGAAGAGCAUGCACCUGAAGCCCAGCUUCACCACUACUGAGAUGCAACCUCAGGUAAAAAAAAGAAAGAAAAAAGAAAAAGUGGC
rnacentral:lncRNA from 1 species